rnacentral:rRNA from 1 species
GACGAACGCUGGCGGCGUGCUUAACACAUGCAAGUCGAACGGAAAGGCCCCUUUGGGGGUACUCGAGUGGCGAACGGGUGCGUAACACGUGAGUAACCUGCCCUUGACUUCGGGAUAACUUCAGGAAACUGGGGCUAAUACCGGAUAGGAAUCCUUGCUGCAUGGUGGGGGUUGGAAAGCUUCGGCGGUUUUGGAUGGACUCGCGGCUUAUCAGCUUGUUGGUGGGGUAGUGGCUUACCAAGGCUUUGACGGGUAGCCGGCCUGAGAGGGCGACCGGCCACAUUGGGACUGAGAGACGGCCCAGACUCCUACGGGAGGCAGCAGUGGGGAAUAUUGCACAAUGGGCGGAAGCCUGAUGCAGCAACGCCGCGUGCGGGAUGACGGCCUUCGGGUUGUAAACCGCUUUCAGCAGGGGCGAAGCUUGUGGUGACGGUACCUGCAGAAGAAGCACCGGCUAACUACGUG